AGGAGACAACACCUGAACCAGAGACUGUAAAAUCAGAAAGCGUUGAUGCCCCAGCUAACUGGAGACAGUCCCUGUCACAAAAACGUCGCAGUGUUGUCAUCCCUAAAGCAGAAACAGAGAAACCAAAGCAAGAUAACACACCAGAGUGGGCUAGAGCCUCUAUCAACAGGAGACAGCGGUUACUAGAUGCUGGGAUCAUCAAUGCUGAAGCUAAAUAAGGGAAGUAACUAGAAUAAAUAUCAUGCUACUGACGCUAACUUGCAGUGAAGGAUCCAGCCUUAUACAUUGUUAUAAUAACUUAUCUUUAGAUUUGCUAACUUAUUUUUACUAAGGUAAAACCGAUUAAGAAUGUCUUUUAUUCAACAAACAGUAACAGGUUGCUAAGAUAAGAAGUGAUUGACUAGUGAUUGAGAUCAGAAAGAGUGAAAUCGCUGCUGUUGCGAUGUUGUAUUCAUUUUAAUUUAUGUAAAUCUACAAGUUUACCAAGGUUUAUCUAGGAGGAUUUUAGAACAGGGUUGUGUGUGUAGACAGUGUCAUUAAUUUGAGGCAACAUUUUCAUAUAGUUAUGUUGAAAACUGGGACCAAUGUGGUUGAUUAAAUCUUUGUUAUCUUUCUGCAAAUAGGUACCCCAAAUGUUUAUUUAAUGUUUUGGUGUCAUGUUGAAAAAUGUUAAUCCAAACAUAUAAAAUUUAUUUUCAACAAAACCAGACCAAAUUUGAGACCAAAAAUGUUUCCUUUUUUUUUUCUACUUCAUGCAAGAAUUAACAGAAAAUGUCUAGAUCGAACACAGAUUUCAGUAUCUCUAAAAGAAUUAUUUUGGUGCCAAUUAGGAUAGGAGUACAGUUUCAUCCCACAGAAAUAUUUUUAUUUAAAGAAUACUAGACGUUACUGUAAAUUCCUGUUACAUUGUAAAAUAGUGUCUGAAAGCUAAUCAAUAUGAAGUUUAAAUAAACCAUUAGUAAACCUAUACAAUUCAGUCCUCCAUUCAUUGAACUAUUGUUGUUAAAUGCUAAACGUAAGGGUUGUCAUUUAGCCAUACUUACAUGACAUGUUAAGGCUUUUAUCUUACUUAUAUGUAGUCCAAGGUGUCAUAUUUAUAUGAACAUACUGGCAAUAUUAGGACUGAUGUUAUAUUAAUUCUAGCGUAAAAACUGAUGUCACAUUUAGUCAUAUUGCAUAGGCUCGUUUCAAAUUUACAUAACAUCCUUGUCCUUUUUUACAUUCAGAUUAGUCUUUUGUAGUGAGUGAUCUUGAAAAGCUGGAUAAAAUGUUUUGUCACAGGUGAAACUAUUUUUAAAAUUUAAUUCCAUUAGGGUUUAUAAUUUAAUUGCUUGUGACAAAACUGUAAUAAUGUAGAAGUAGUUGUAAACUAUAUAUUUUAAAUACUUAAUCAGUUCUUCCCAUCCCCCUUUAAAAGUAUCCUUAACCAAUUAAGUAAUGACCUGAUGUGGAAAAAACUGAUUUACAUACAUGUGUAAAGGUUGUUGUCAAGUUUACAAUAUGUUUACGACAAACGUCAUAGUGUGGGAACUUAUUUUGUGUAUUUCUCUGUACUGUGUUUUUGAACUUGAUUCCAUCGGUAUUACAAAUUCCAAAGUUAAACCUUUGCUCACUCAGAUUUCAGGUAUUAUGUAAUGUUUGAUGUUGAUUUUAUGUGAGACAAUAUUAGAAAAAAAAAAAGUUUUUAUAUGAAACUAGUGUGUGUUAUUGCAAUUUUUCUAAAACAGUUUUUUGAAACUUUUGCCCAUACAAUGUUAUAUUAUUUUAUUUUUUAUUUUGUUUGAUACUUUGAUAAAAAUAGGAUUGAUUGGAAUAUCAUAUCAUUUUUGCUGCUUAUUUUACAUGAAACAUAUCUUUUUAAAAAAAAUUUGGAAGAUACAUUUCAUUAAAAGUUUACAGGGUGUAGCCUACUUAUUCAGUUAGCUCCCAUUUAUUUACUGUUGUAACAGUUAAUUCCCUUUUUAGGCAUGUUAUCUAACUUAAAAAUAUUUUUUUUUUUAACUAUCAAAGAUUUCCUUAGGAUUAUUUUUCUGCUUUAGACUGUAGCUUAGCAAAUAUGGCCACCAUACUUACCACAAAUGGUCUUUAAAAUAAGGUGGUCACAAUACUUCUUACAAAUGACCUUUGAGGUUAGAUGACCACUCUGCUUACCACAUAUGACCAAUUGACUACCUUUACAAAAUUGGCCAUAAAACACAGCUUUAUUUUUACAAUUGAAGUGUGUUAAAACUAAUAUCCCUUUUUUCAAGCUUUCCAAAAAACUUAUCGUAUGUCAUUCCUUAAAAGAUUGAAGCUUGCUCAAAAUUUUCUGGGAAAUGUUUUUUGUAAUUUCACUAAAGUGUUGGAACAUUCUCCGUCCUUUUGACAGGUCUUGUGCUAAAUAAUGACCCCCACAUUUGAUGUAAUGACCCCACAUUUGAUGUAAUGAACCCUGGCAUUUGAUGUAAUGACUUAGGCCUAUGACGUUAUGACCCCUUGCCUAUAAUUUUAUAAUGUAAAGAUCCCUGGCAUAUCCUGUAAUGUUUUGACCCCUGGCAAUUGUUUUAAUUGAAUCAAUGACCCCUGUUGCAGCUGACCCCUGUCCAAUUCUAUGGUUGUUCGAUUUUUCCCAUUCCCAAUGUAAUAAUUUGUUACAACUUCAAGACACAUAGUCUUAACUUGGUAUUGAUUUUACAAUAUUAAACUGAUAAAAUGUUUUAACUUUUUUUAGGGCAGGUUUCAUUCCUCUAUGUGUUAGUAUUAGAAAUGGUUCUGAGUGUGUUCAUUUUUUCUUGUGUUACAUAUAUUUGAUUUCUGGGAGCUAUUUACACUAUUCCACUUGUAUUACUCAAGUCUACUUGCAUUGUAUGUGUCCAGUCUCCAACAUUGUGUUUGUAGCACACAUUAACCAAAUAGAAAUACAGUUAGGAAUAAAAAUAAUAAACAUCUGUUAACCCGGUGCACAAUGAUGAAAAUAUGUGUUAGUUGUUGGUUGUUAGUCAGUUAACUAGGUAAGAUUUUUCCAACUUGAGUACACUUUCACUAAAAUUAGUCUAAUUUUAAAAUUUAAAUUCUUAAACAUGUUAUAUUACAAACGAAAACAAUUUUGAAAUAUUACUUAUUUUAUUACCAGUAAAAUUACAAAAACUCUUGUGUAAAUAUUUUAAUUGACAAGUAGAUUUUUGUGUUUUUUUUAACACGCUUUAAAACUAUUUUGGCCAGCCUAUAGACAUUUUUUUUAGAAUUUUUAACUAUCAUUAUCAUAAAAUUAAACUCUCUGUGUUUUGAAGAACUUAAAAUUACAAUAAAAAUACUGCUUAUCUAGAUAGACUAUGUACCUUUAAUAAACCAACUAAAGUAAAAAAAGCUCUCUACUUUAUUGGUAAAAAUCCCUCUCCCCCCUUGCUCACUUCAGUAUGUAUUGCUAUUGUUAAUAGAUUUUAUGUAUAUACUUUCUAGCUAUUUAUUUCAUUGGUUGUUUCCCUUUGUGUCUGUGUGUGUAACAAAUCUUUUGUUAAGAAAUCCACAUAACUAUGAUAAGACACUGAUUUAACCUCUUUUGGCUAUCUUUUUGGUGUAUGGUUGUUAUUCAUGUGCAAUUCAUUAGAAAAAGGUAAAAAAUAUUUAAUCUUUAACUGUUUUUUAACUUUCUUCUCUAAGAUUUUUCUUGGUUGUUAAAAAUUUUAUAAGCUGUGCUAAUUAUAUCUGGUAGUGAAGUUUAAAAGAGCCACCCAAUUAUCACAAAACUACAAUACAUUGAGAACCCAAACUAUUUUUAUGCCAGAUUUUUUUUAACCACAGCAAACUGACCAAGUUUUAACAUCUUGUGACCAAUGUUUUUUUAAACAGUUAUUUUAAAAAUGUUUAUUUUUAUGUGGUUGUAUUCAUACAUGUAUAAAUAGAACUAGUGGUGACUGUCGUUUUCGCCCCUUCUUCAUAAAUUCACAACUCAUUAGAGAUGUUUAUUUUUAUACUGUUGCAUGGAUUUUUUAAAACUUCUUGUUGCUGGAAAACACCUGUUCAAAUGUAUUUAUAAAAAGCAUAAUUCAUCAUUAUGCCUUAAUUAUUUUUGUAUGUUUUGAAUAGAAUGGCAGAUUAGUAUUAUUACACUGAUUUGGGGGAGGGGGGGUUCCCAAAAUAAGUGAAGGCUAAAUUUCUGCUUUUUUUGUAACUAUCAAUAUUCAACUUGUAGCUGUGAAUGUUUUAUUUCAAUAGUAAAUUGAGAAUGUUUCCUAUGACAUUUUGUUAAUUUGAAGUUUGUUUUUAAAAUAUGAGUGUUGUUGGUUUUUUUUUAAAGUAUACAAACAGAAUUUGUACCCUUGCUCAUGUUAUUUAUUUCAUUAAUAGUUGAGCACAUGUCUAUAACUGAAUGUGUGUUAUGCUUGCCAAAAAUUAUGAUAAGCACAGAAGUAUUGUUUUUUUUUUUAUUUUUAAGCUAACAAUAAUCAUAGGAAAUGUCAGGUACAUUUGCUAAAUUUUGUAGUUUUUAGUUGAGCAUUUUUAGUUAAAACAUUUUACU